rnacentral:tRNA from 1 species
GUCCGCGUAGCUCAGUUGGAUAGAGCAAUCGCCUCCUAAGCGAUAGGUCGGGGGUUCGACUCCCUUCGCGGACGCCA